rnacentral:sRNA from 1 species
CUGACAGUCCUGAAGACUGAAGCCCUGUAAUUAUUCACAGGACAGGUACAGCAUGAAUAGCAGGAGCACAAUUCUGCUGCACCUCAUCUCUUUAUGUUUGAGAGAGAAGGUCAGUCAGUCUCCUUGCCCAUUCAGUCCUUGUCCUUG